CUGUAAAAAAGUGGACAUACGACCAGUUUGACAGCAGUUUCAAAUUUUAAAUUUAAUAUUAUUGAAAAUAGUAAAAUAGUUAGUUUGAUUCGUUUACUGAUAACACUUUUGACCUGAUAGAAACCUGAGUUUAGUUAUAAAUCCAAAAGUGUUUAUUGAAGUUGGAUUGUUCAUCACUCCGAAUGCAGCAUACUUCAACAUACCAAUCGAAGAUGAUAAUAACCCAGACCCAGGAUAUGGCUCCCGUGGCUCCCUAUAUAGUUCUAAAGAUGUUACACCACCACUCGGAAUGCAAUAUACCAAUCGGAGAAGACUAAGUUUAGGAAGAAUGAGAAACGCCAGAGGCCAACCUUCACCGUCAUCGCAAAUCUUGUCCCAAGCCUACUCGCAGAUAUGCUUUCCAUGUCUCUGGGAAAUGGACCGUGAUGGAAAUGUUUUGCGAACUUGAUCAACUCUUUGUCGGAGACGAACGCAAGAUGAACGACCACUGCAAUGAGAUAAUUGCUUUUAAACUGCUGGGCAAGUGCAUGGAAAACAAUUGGGACAAAUUCCUUGUAGACCUAAUUGCUUCUCAAACGGUUCUGCCACGGGUUCCACGUAUUAAUAAUUUGCUGAGUGAAUGUUGUGGAAGAGGAAAUGUUUAUGUUCGGGUAUGAUCAAACGAUGGCGAAAUAACGUUUAGAAAUAGAGAACUAUGUGCAAACAAAAAAAUAGAUCUGUUGUUCACGGAAUGAAGCUGCGAUGAAGUGCGCCAUGGACCAAAAAUAUUAAAUAAAUGAUAGGUGUUUGAUAGUAAGGCAA